CCUACGGGAGGCAGCAGUGAGGAAUAUUGGACAAUGGCCGUAAGGCUGAACCAGCGAAGCCGCGUGAAGGAAGAAGGAUUUAUGGUUUGUAAACUCUAUUUAUAGGGGAAUAAAGGUCUGUACGUGUGGAUAUUUGCAUGUACCCUAUGAAUAAGCAUCGGCUAACUCCGUGCCAGCAGCCGCGGUAAUACGGAGGAUGCGAGCGUUAUCCGGAUUUAUUGGGUUUAAAGGGUGCGUAGGGUGUUUAUUAAGUCAGAGGUGAAAGUUUGUGGCUCAACCAUAGAAGUGCCGUUGAAACUGGAAGACUAGAGUGUGUUUGUGGUAGGCGGAAUGCGUGGUGUAGCGGUGAAAUGCAUAGAUAUCACGCAGAACUCCGAUUGCGAAGGCAGCUUACUAAGCCGUAACUGACACUGAGGCACGAAAGCGUGGGGAGCAAACAGGAUUAGAUACCCGGGUAGUC
rnacentral:rRNA from 1 species